GACGAACGCUGGCGGCGUGCUUAACACAUGCAAGUCGAACGGAAAGGCCCCAGCUUGCUGGAGUACUCGAGUGGCGAACGGGUGAGUAACACGUGGGUAAUCUGCCCUGCACUCUGGGAUAAGCCUGGGAAACUGGGUCUAAUACUGGAUAUGACCUUUCUCCUUAUGGGGUUUGGUGGAAAGUUUUUCGGUGUAGGAUGAGCCCGCGGCCUAUCAGCUUGUUGGUGGGGUGAUGGCCUACCAAGGCGACGACGGGUAGCCGGCCUGAGAGGGUGAUCGGCCACAUUGGGACUGAGAUACGGCCCAGACUCCUACGGGAGGCAGCAGUGGGGAAUAUUGCACAAUGGGCCGAAGCCUGAUGCAGCGACGCCGCGUUAGGGAUGACGGCCUUCGGGUUGUAAACCUCUUUCAGCAGGGACGAAGCGUAAGUGACGGUACCUGCAGAAGAAGCACCGGCUAACUAUGUG
rnacentral:rRNA from 1 species